GUGCUUGCUUCAGCAACACAUAUGCUAAAACUGGAACAAUUACAGAGAUUAGCAUGGCCUCUGCACAAGGAUGACAUGCAAAUCUGUGAAGCAUAACAUAUGAAA